CCUGAAGUGCUGGAUGUGGCAGCUGUAGAAGCAGCAUUGUCGUUCUGUGAAGAAAAUGAUGAUCCUCAGUCCCUGCCUGGCCCUUGGGAGCACCCUAUCCAGCAGGAGCGGGACAAGCCAGUGCCUCUUCCAGCACCAGAGAUGACAGUCAAACAAGAGAGGCUAGACUUCGAGGAGUCAGAAACCAAAGGGAUCCAUGAACUGGUGGACAUCAGGGAUUCAGGUGUUGAGAUAAAGGUGGAACCUACAGAGCCAGAGCCAGGCAUGUCCGGGGCUGAGAUCGUAGCUGGAGUUGGUCCAGUCCCAAGUUUGGAGCCACCAGAACUCAGGAGUCAAGACUUAGAUGAGGAACCUAGAAGUUCUGCAGCUGGAGAGAUGGGUGAGGCAGACGGUUCCAGUGGGAAAGGCGAGGAAAGGCCACUUCCGGCUGUGAAGACAGAGGCGUCCCCUGAAAGCAUGUUGUCUCCAUCACAUGGCUCAAAUCCUAUUGAAGAUCCUUUAGAGGCAGAGACUCAACACAAGUUUGAAAUGUCAGGACGCUCCAGGUGAGGAGGAGGAGGAGGAUGGAGUCAGUGAAGCAGCUAGCCUGGAGGAGCCUAAGGAGGAGGAUCAAGGCGAAGGCUAUUUGUCUGAGAUGGACAACGAGCCCCCUGUGAGCGAAA
rnacentral:lncRNA from 1 species